rnacentral:rRNA from 1 species
UACAGAGGUCUCAAGCGUUGUUCGGAUUCACUGGGCGUAAAGGGUGCGUAGGUGGUUGGGUAAGUCUGAUGUGAAAUCUCCGGGCUCAACCCGGAAAUGGCAUUGGAUACUGUUCGGCUAGAGGUUUGGAGGGGGGACUGGAAUUCUCGGUGUAGCAGUGAAAUGCGUAGAUAUCGAGAGGAACACCAGUGGCGAAGGCGAGUCCCUGGACAACACCUGACACUGAGGCACGAAAGCGAGGGGAGCAAACAGG